GAUUCCGUAGUGUAGCGGUUAUCACGUUCGCUUUACACGCGAAAGGUCCCCGGUUCGAGCCCGGGCGGAAUCA
rnacentral:tRNA from 1 species